AGGCUCACUUCAGCAGCAUAUAUACUAAAAUUAGACUGGUACAGAGAAGAUUAGCAUGGACCUUACACACAGAUAACACACAAAUUCAUUAAGUGUUCCAUUAAAAA
ensembl:snRNA U6 U6 spliceosomal RNA